UAGAAGAAGGGGGUGUUUGGAGGUGAACGUCAUUAGCUUUAUCAAACACUGUCUCAAUCCUUAAGGAUCCUAUGAAACUACUCCUUCAACAUAUCAACCCUUGAAAAGAGAACUUCUUCUCUUGCAAAAACAAAAAAAAAAAAAUUGUUAACAAAAAAGUCUCAAGUUUUCAUAUUUUUAGAUCCAGUAUAUUGAGCUCUUUCAAAAGUUUUUUUGAAGAAAUAAUCAUCAUUUUAACAUAAGGUUCCAAUCCAUUAUGGGCCUCUCACAAUAUCCAACUCCAGCAGAUGCAGGAGUACUCGGUGUAAUUCUAGUAAACACAGCCAUAUCCAUCUCCAUUAUCAAGGAGAUACUCCGUUCGAUCCUUCGUGUGAUUGGCAUCCGUAUCGCAUCAUGGGAAGACUAUUCUAUUGAAGGACCCUUGGACUCACUUGAAUGCCGUGGAAGCCCACCAGAAUCAUACAUGGAGGAGUUCAGAAGCCGAACGCCUGCAUUUCGUUAUGACUCGCUACGUAUCUCUAACCACCCUGAACAAGAAUGCUCUGUGUGCCUGACAAAAUUUGAGCCUGAUGCAGGGGUAAACAGCCUCUCAUGUGGUCAUGUUUUCCAUAAGCUGUGUCUAGAGAAGUGGCUCAGGUAUUGGCAUGUAACUUGUCCUCUUUGUAGAAAUUACUUGAUGCCUCAACAAGAAGAGGACGAUACAUGUCCAAUGUGAGAUUAAACGUUUUACGGUGCCACUUCAUCCAUUUGCUGAUGUUAUUAUGUACAGCUUAGUAGUGUACAGGCUGAGUAUGUGUAUGCUUGAUCUUUGAUGUGAUAUAGUCUGUUAGCUUGUCAUAUUUGUGAUGGUUUGCGUCCUCUCAGAGUGACGGGUCUCUUUCGUGUGACCAAAAAACUUAUACUAUGUUGUACAUGAUUUAGUCCUGUAGCUUCUUGUGUUUGUAAUGCUUUGCGUCCUCUCAGAGUGACGGGUCUCUUUCGUGUGACCAAAAACUUGUACAUUAUAGUACAUGGUGUAGUCGUGUAGCUUAUUAAUGCUUUUCGUCCUCUCCAAGUGACGAGUCUCCUUUGGCAUCACCAAGAACUUCUACAUUGUUGUACAUUGUUGUACAUAUAACCUAAAACUUUCUCUUAUGUUACUUACAGCAACUACGAACUUGAGCAUACGCUAUCGAUAACAUACUCAGUGUUCCUCUCAAACUUACUUUCUGUAAUAUGUUCUAACAAAGUUGCUUCCUAUUUUCUGAUCUUUAAUUGUUCAAAAUGCUUCGUUAUGCUUUCACUUCCGUGUGUUCUUUUCCUGGGCUGUUUUUCCUUGAGUCGAGGGUGGGUCUGUCAGAAACAACCUCUUACCUCUAAGGUAGGUCUAGAUAGGGAUAAGGUUUGUGUACACUCUACCUUUCCAAGACCCCACUUUGUUGGACUAGAUUGGGAUAUGUUGUUGACAAAUGACAACUGCAUACACCAAGAGAGACGGUGGGGUGUGGGGGCUGCAGCAACGUAGCCAGGAUUUGCACUAAGGGUAGUCAAAAUAUAAAGAUAUAAACACAGAAAGAAGCCAAGAGGAUUUAACAUAUAGUAUAUACGUAAAUAUGUAUUAUAGAGGAAGUUUUACUUAUCUACACGGUGUAACUUCCUAGUGAAGGGUUGACGAGGGUUGCUCCGCGAAAGCUAUGCAACAUUUUACUUAGAAGCAACCUAUGAUCAUCCUUCAUAAAUUUACAACCUCAUUUAUCAAUUAACACAGUUCUUAUGAUCAAGUAUAAUAAGAUAAAUGAUUAUGACAUAACUAUUAUUGUAUGUUUAAUACUUUCAUAUCUGAAAACAGCCUUAACUGUUCAUGAAGCUAUAUGCUAUGAAUUUCAGAAAGUUUGUUAAAGUUACUUUCCAGCAGCAAGUUCAGAGAGUUUCGAGCCAACGGACAUGCUGGUGCGAGUCAGGCCGGAGUUCCUGUGGUAUCUGCAUCUGAAUGAACCAGCAUGUGUUGUUGGUGAACACAAGCAGCUGUGCUUUACACUUGAUGCCUUCCUUAAGACUGUCGGCGAAGUAGGCGUGGAGGAUGACAGUGGUGGUGAGCUCUUCAUUGCUUCUAGACAUAUAAUUUGUGGUAGAUUUAACUUUUUCUUGCUAGUUUCUGCAAUGUCAAUUGAUUGUUGAGCCAUAGCUGGUUGUGGUUCCAUCCUGAAGAAGAAAAAAAUCAAUUGGUAUUAAGUACAAGAAGUUUAAGAGGGAGAACUUUGAUAUCUAACUACGACAACUAUGGGGCACGAAGGGUUUAAGAAUAAGAACAAGUGACAGAGAAGUCGUUUACUGAUUAGCUGCUUGAACAUGGAAAGAUGUCGAUUAUUUCCUAAUAAUUGUUGUACCUCACAAGCCAUAUUAAUUGGUUGAUCAACACUAUCUCGACCUUGAACUACCAGAGCGUUAUAAAUAUUUGGCAUUUUGCCUAGGGGAAAGGCUACAUCUAUUACCGGAUCGAUGAUUUGGAUGACACGCCCCGAUUUUUUUUUUUCAAGCGUGGAAACCCCGGGGGCGAAGCCAGGUAAGGUUGAGGGGAUUGGAAAAUUACACUGUUUAUAUUAUGUAUAAAGUUAUUUCUUUUAUGUAUGUACAGUAGAUAUUGAACUUCUUUGUUUCUUCGUAUAUUUACUUU